rnacentral:tRNA from 1 species
GGAGGGUUGGCAGAGAGGACAAUUGCGCGAGUCUCGAAAACUCGAGGGAAUUUUUCCCUACAGAGGUUCGAAUCCUCUACCCUCCGCCU